rnacentral:rRNA from 1 species
GGCCUUUCGGGGUACACGAGCGGCGAACGGGUGAGUAACACGAUGGGUGAUCUGCCCUGCACUUCGGGAUAAGCCUGGGAAACUGGGUCUAAUACCGGAUAUGACCUCAGGUUGCAUGACUUGGGGUGGAAAGAUUUAUCGGUGCAGGAUGGGCCCGCGGCCUAUCAGCUUGUUGGUGGGGUAAUGGCCUACCAAGGCGACGACGGGUAGCCGACCUGAGAGGGUGACCGGCCACACUGGGACUGAGACACGGCCCAGACUCCUACGGGAGGCAGCAGUGGGGAAUAUUGCACAAUGGGCGAAAGCCUGAUGCAGCGACGCCGCGUGAGGGAUGACGGCCUUCGGGUUGUAAACCUCUUUCAGCAGGGACGAAGCGCAAGUGACGGUACCUGCAGAAGAAGCACCGGCUAACUACGUGCCAGCAGCCGCGGUAAUACGUAGGGUGCAAGCGUUGUCCGGAAUUACUGGGCGUAAAGAGUUCGUAGGCGGUUUGUCGCGUCGUUUGUGAAAACCAGCAGCUCAACUGCUGGCUUGCAGGCGAUACGGGCAGACUUGAGUACUGCAGGGGAGACUGGAAUUCCUGGUGUAGCGGUGAAAUGCGCAGAUAUCAGGAGGAACACCGGUGGCGAAGGCGGGUCUCUGGGCAGUAACUGACGCUGAAGAACGAAAGCGUGGGUAGCGAACAGGAUUAGAUACCCUGGUAGUCCACGCCGUAAACGGUGGGCGCUAGGUGUGGGUUCCUUCCACGG